rnacentral:rRNA from 1 species
GCAGCCGCGGUAAUACGGAGGAUGCGAGCGUUAUCCGGAUUUAUUGGGUUUAAAGGGUGCGUAGGCGGACUAUUAAGUCAGUGGUGAAAUAUCGGGGCUCAACCUCGGGGCUGCCAUUGAUACUGAUAGACUAGAGAUUAAAUGGAGUAGGCGGAAUAUGUCAUGUAGCGGUGAAAUGCUUAGAUAUGACAUAGAACACCGAUCGCGAAGGCAGCUUGCUAAGAUACAUCUGACGCUGAUGCACGAAAGCGUGGGGAUCGAACAGGAUUAGAUACCCC